UGGGUCUAAAGGGUCCGUAGCCGGUUUAAUCAGUCUUCCGGGAAAUCUGACAGCUCAACUGUUAGGCUCCCGGGGGAUACUGUUAGACUUGGGACCGGGAGAGGUAAGAGGUACUACAGGGGUAGGAGUGAAAUCUUGUAAUCCCUGUGGGACCACCAGUGGCGAAGGCGUCUUACCAGAACGGGUCCGACGGUGAGGGACGAAAGCUGGGGGCACGAAC
rnacentral:rRNA from 1 species